rnacentral:snRNA from 1 species
GUCUCUUCCUUGUAUUCGCUUGCUGAUAUUCCGUACCCUAGAUUUCUUACUUUCGAAAUACAUUACCCGGAUCAAUUCCAUUAUUUUCGCCUUUCAAAAAAUUUCCCGGUUGUAUAAAAAGGCAGGACUUCGACAGUCAACAACAAUUUUGAGUAUAUUUACCACAUUUUUUCUGAUUUUUUUUUAAGAGGGUGAAUCAAAAAUUUAUUUUUUACACGGAAACGAUGCCACAGUUGACUGAACCUGUCUUCUAACAGUAGUUAAUUGCCAGUAUUUCAAACAAGAUUUGAAAUACGAGUUUCCCAGAAUAAUUUAUUUGGACAGGAUAGGAAGUCCGAUUUCUGUGUUGUCUCAAACGAGGCGAUAGAAUUGGGAUGUCGAAGAAAGUCUACAUUACUCAUAUAUUUACGUACUGUCUCUUGCAGGUAAAAAGUCUUGAAGAUCAGUUUCAAUAUUGAAACUAACAAAUUUAGUUAGUUUCUGUACUUAGUCCGAGGUAUGUAUGCUAAGAUUAGAGGAUGGUAAAAAAAUCAGCUAUGAAAAUACAUGU